UCCGCAGGCGGAACGGUAUGUCGGAUGUGAAAGCUCACAGCUCAACUGUGGAACUGCAUUCGAAACUGCCGAUCUAGAGUACUGGAGGGGAGAAGGGAAUUCUUGGUGUAGCGGUGAAAUGCGUAGAUAUCAAGAAGAACACCGGUGGCGAAGGCGCUUCUCUGGACAGAUACUGACGCUCAUGGACGAAAGUUAGGGUAGCGAAAG
rnacentral:rRNA from 1 species